CCCAUAUGAGGAAGAAAAUCCAUAUGAUAGGAAGUGCCAUAUGACACUCCAAACAGCAACAGUAUA